GGCAGUGUAGUAUAAUGGUUAAGGAUCUGGGCUUGUAACUCAGAGGUUGCAGGUUCGAUUCCCUGAUGUGGCACUGGCG
rnacentral:tRNA from 1 species